UGUCUCUUAAAUGUGUUCAGAACAUUUCUGCAGCCUGCAGAGCUGGGAUUGUUUAUUAGAAGAUAAGAUAGUGAAAAAUGUAUUUUGCAGAAAGAAAAUAGUAAAGCUGGUUUCCCAGCAGAUAAGAAGCCAAAUUUCUAUUUUAUGCUCAAUUGAAUGAUUCAGUUACAUUAUCUGGGAGGCAGCAGUGAAAUAACACCCUUCGGAAAUGAGACUGUGAGGACACACAGUUCAGAGGAGGCAGCUAUGGGCCCAUCACCUGACAGCUCAGGCACCCAGCCCUGGGACGCCCGUGGGCGGCGCAGCCCUCCCUCCCACUCUGGGCCGGGCUGUGGGUGGUGAGAGCCACGUCCCAGAGAGCCCCCGCAGCCUGCGCCGCGCUCCAGAACUGGAAGGAUGCAGGAUUAGCGCUUCCCUCGUCGUGCUCUCCGGCGGCACAAAGCGCUGCUCUUCUGCAAGCAAUGCUUGCUGGUUCGGGAUGGCUCCCUCCCUCCUUGCUGGUCCCUGCUGGGCCACGGCUCCUGCGAUGGGGCGGGAAUCGAGAGAGGGUCCUUGCAGAGGGAGCUGCUGCCCAUGUCUCGGCAGGGCCUCAAGUGACGGCACGAUCCUGCUGGUUUUCCCCCUCUGUUGCCUUUGCAUUUCUCAAGUCUGACGUCCACAGAGGCAGCUACUGUCUUGUGCGAGAGAACUAGUGUGACACGUGCCAGGAACAUGUGUUUUUGCGAUUUUACAAUGAGUUCUGCAGCUGUUGGGAUUUUCCUUAGAACUCCAGCUUCAGGAAAAAGGAAAAGGGGAAAAUGAAAAAGGAACUAACUUAUCUUUCUAGCUGUGAAGGACAGCCUGUUUAUAUAAAAUGAAUACCCCGUACAGUCUCAAAAUCCAGAAAAAAAAUUAUUGUUAUUAUUUUAAAAUAAAAAUUCCACCAAGUUAGCACAAAAAAACAUUCCCAUGAUUUUUUAACCCAGGACUCUUAGAUGAUGGGCUCUCCAUUUCUGACUGCUCAAGGUUGCCAAUUUUAUUUAUUGUGUUCCUUAGGAGACUUUACUUUUGUUUCGCUUUUUCUUUCUGUUAAUAUAAAUGUCAUUCCUUCGUAAAGCUUAUGGCUCCGUCUGAAAAUGAAGAAACAAAUGAAGCAUGUGGCACAUUAGUGCCAAUCUUUUCCUUGCACUAGAGGGUCUGGCUUACAGCAGUGAUGGUUGCGUCCUUGAUAAGUCCAUUUUUUAUUUACUGAGCCAUUUAAUUUAUGAUUCAUUAUUUGUAUGGGCCUGGCCACGCUGAUGAUCCAAAGAGAAAUCCACUAUUAAAGGACACAGCAGCUUUCUCCAGUUUUUAGUCUCUGUCAUGGGCAAUCUUAGCUGCUAACAGAAGCUACACCAGACCUUCAGUUAAUGUUUGGUUAAGUCUACAGUUUAGAGUACUUAAAAUCAAACUCCUGCAUUAGCAGUUUUGGAGGAGAGUACUUUUUCUGCAUGAGACCACGGUGUGAUGACGCCAUGUCCACGAUGCGGGCAGUGAGUGUGGUGGCAACGGGCUGGUCCCCUUCAACCUGCUGAUUUUCAGUGGCCUGUUCAAAUGACUAAUGAUUGCAGUCCAGGUACCAGUGGGCAGAUAUAUCACAUUAAUUGGCUUAAACUGGCUUCUUGGAUAAUGGCAUGAUUUGGAAAGACAAGAACUGAAUUCCAUGGAGAAAAAGGACUCUCUAUUGGGCAGAAGGUGUAGAGGUACGACUCACCAGGAAGAAGAUGGUGAUUUAAAGAAUGAACCAGGUAAAAAUAUUCCUUCAUGACCACCACAGGUUUGAACAUGUCUUUAAGGACUGUAUUUGAUUACCUGUAUAAUAUUAUGGUUUGCUGUAUGAUUUACAGCUAAAGGUCCAGAUUAAGACUGAAUUGCCACCACUGUAGGUAAGCAUUGAUUAGACACAUGAAGAAGAAUGUCCUUCCUCCAGCCUUAACUUUUGAGAGAGCAUAAAAGACAGAAAGGAAGAUCUGCAAGUUCAUUGAGGCACUUGGUGGGGGCUGGAACCCAAAUUCUGUACUCUAAUUCACAACAUUUACUAAAACCUCCUUGUCAUUUUCAGCACUGAGUUUCCUUUCAACAACACUCCUAGGUAUCAGUUUGAUCCACAAUUUCGACAAACAACAUGUCAAAACAAGUCCUCCUGAAAAGGUCUGAGGGAAUUUUCGCUUCUGCUUUUAGGAUGUAUUUCAAUAACACUGAACUUUCCAUUUCCACUUUGUAUUUUUUCAUUAUAGUAUAACAUAUACUGGUGAGCUCAUAAAGUUGUGAGGAGACAUGCAAGACGUUUUAAUCUUGCUUAAUGGUUUAAUCUUUUCUAUAUGAAACGCUGCAUUUUUUGUCGUGCAGACAGUUUAAAGAAUUUUGACUUCCAGUCCAUCAGGAAGGCCGGGUGGUGGCCUAUAAGAAAGUUGGAUAUUUUGAUAUGUUUGUUUUUUUUUUUUUAAAUAAAAUAAUAAUAAAAAAGAAUAUCAUUUUACAGAAUGAAAAGUUCCUGGAUAGUGCGACUGACAAAUAUCAUCAUGUACAUAUGUUUGCCUCAGUGUGGCAGCUCCUCAAGGUGUUGAAUUGCCUGAUGGGCAGUUUAGCAGCAUCGUCUCAUUCCCACGUGCCUCUAAAGGCUCCAUUCAGUGCCUGGUGGGACGGUAUGAGCAGGUUUCCUGGAAGACUGAUACUUCUAAUGUGCAGAUUAAAACUCACAAAAGCCAUUAUGGGCCAUUCUAAAAACUGGGAAGCUUUCUAGUAAACUGAUACUGACUUGGUAGUGAAAUGGAGUUUAAUGAGGGAAGAUCUAACUGUCUGAGACUGAUGACUUCAGUGGUGUUAAUGCAUCCUAUGCAACUUACGCAUAAAACAGACCACUUAUCAAGGUCAUUGUAUAUUUGCUUUGGUGCAACAACAACAGUAUCAAUCUUCCUUCUAAACCCAGCAGAAAGCCAAGUGUCUGCUAAAACCAUUAACCACGUGCAGGAGGAGCUGAGUAUCUCUUCUGGGAGCUGCAUGCUAGGAUCUGCAAAUAGCCACGGUGAGCUGAGCAAAACCCCUCUGGGCCUGCAAGUCCAGGAGGAACUUGGCGACCAAGCAGAGAGUGCUGAGACUUGAGAACCCACCUCAUGUGUCUACAUGCCAAUGUGGUGAAGAGUGGUGUUGAGGGAAAGGGAGGAUGCCAGAAUUUCUCUGAGAACCUGCUUCCAAGCUGAGCUGAUCUUCUAUUCUAUUGUGCUCUUAAUGGAAGGGUCAGGCUGAAGAAAGUAAUUUAUGUCUUCUAAAAUAUGUUUUUUUGCAUGUAACUGUAUCAAGUCUCCGGUGUGAGACACACCGCCACCCCCCCCACCCCCACCCCCCCGAGCACUCUGCAACCUUUAGUGCCUCUUUCUUCUUGAGUAGCAACCCUACGGAUUGUGCUAGUUCCAAUGCUUUGGACGUUAAGCAACUGAUAUAGUUUAAACACUUGUAAAAUGCCUACAAUGUCUGUUGUGCUUGGACUCAAGAUGUUGUGCUAGCAACAGUGGCUCAGACUAUUUUGACAAGGGCUUGCUGGAGUGCCUGGUUGCCUUGUGCAAACAAGGUCCAAAGAGGCUUAAGGCUUCUAAAGUUUCAGGGACAGAUUCCUGGCAGAGGAAAACUGCUGAAGCUUUUCUGAAACCAGGGAGCUUGUGCCAUUUUACUCCAGGCAAGGGUGUGGACCUUAGGGGUGCUCUAACUGCUUAAAUUGCUCUGCAGUUUUAGGGAGUUUACAGUAAGCCUCUUAAACUGCUCUAAGGGCUUACAGUAUCUUAAGCCUCUUAAAUUAUAUUAAAAAAACUUACAGUAUUUUGGCAGAAUCCACAGUUUGGAAGGUUUCAAGGUUCAGAAAAAAUCAAACUUGUCUUGUUUGAUAGAUUUUAUUGGGAAUUAAAUAUAUCUGAUAAAAUAUAAUUUUAAUAAUUUUAAAAUGGCAAACUUAAAUACUUAUUUUGCCA